rnacentral:lncRNA from 1 species
CCCAGGCUGAAGUGCAAUGGCGCGAUCUCGGCUCACCGCAACCUCCGCCUCCAAGGUUUAAGCGAUUCUCCUGCCUCAGCCUCCCGACUAGCUGGGAUUACAGGCAUUCACCACCAAGCCCGUCUAAUUUUAUAUUUUUAGUAGAGACGGGAUUUCCCCAUGUUGGUCAGGUUGGUCUCGAGCUCCCGACCUCAGGUGAUCGCCCGCCUCGACCUCCCAAAGUGCUGGGAUUACAGGCGUGAACCACCGUGCCCGGCCUUGGCCGCAUGUGUUUUGAAUUUUGCUGCCCGGAAUUCACUGCGAGGACUGGGAUCACCCGUCACCCCGCCCUGGUCUACGGAAAAUGAAAUGUGUUUACUGAUAUAGAAACGGAAUAACGGCGCUGUGGGCUGGGGAGGGCCGAGCUGCCUUCAGGCUUCUGGUCUCCAGCUGCAGGGCACUCACACCUGCCCGUUAUGAAAAUGCAGACCCGCAGGGCAGGAAUUCCGAGUCCGGGCUGGAGCGUGAUCUGGAAUCCGGCUCUCUUGAAACAGCACCGCGGAGGAUUCGGAUCCGGGUGAGUAGGAAACUGCGCCUCAGCCCCUCCCACGGGCCGCCCACGUAUUCCAGGAUCCGAAAACGCUUCCUGCUGCUCCGUCACCCCAGGAAGGCAGCGUCCGCCUCUGGGCGGUUCUGAUGGAAACCGGCUGCGCCGCCCGCAGGAAAACCCACAACUAAGGGGCCAGGAAAAAGCCUCUUAGGGUCCCGCCACUUCAGUGAGGAUCCUAAUUUACACCCUUAGUUUGGCCUCCAUGAAAGACUGGAGUGACCUUCACUGAAAUGAUACAAGGGGCCCAGGGAGCUGCGGCGCUCAGAAUGCGGUGACAGCGCCGCCUCGCGUCCCUUCCCUGACCUGCUCCCGGCGGACGCGGAGAAGUUUGUUGGCCUGGAGGCUGGAAUAUACCGGGGAUCAAAUGCAGAGAAUGGAGAAAAGAGGGAAGGAUGGGGGGACGUGUUGAAGAAAUGAGGGAAGAGAUAGGAAGAAAAGGGGAGAGAAAAAGUAAAGGAGAGUUUUUUUGUUUUUUGUUUUUUUUUUUUGAGACGGAGUCUUGCUCUGUCGCCCAGGCUGGAGUGCAGUGGCGCGAUCUUGGCUCACUGCAAGCUCCGCCUCCCGGGUUCAGGGCAUUCUGCUGCCUCAGCCUCUGGAGUAGCUGGGACUACAGGCUCCUGCCACCACGCCCGACUAAUUUUUUGUAUUUUUAGUAGAGACGGGGUUUCACUGUGUUAGCCAGGAUGGUCUCGAUCUCCUGACCUCGUGAUCUGCCUGCCUUGGCCUCUCAAAGUGCUGGGAUUACAGGCGUGAGCCACCGCACCCGGCCGGAGAGAGAAAAUUUAAAAGACGUAGUUUCAUUAUUUCUUUUAUUUUUGCCCUUUAUCUAGUUUUACUUAUGAACAUUUUUACCACAAAUUUCUCUCUCUCUAAAUCUGUAAAUAUGCUGCUAUUAUUGUUAUUUCAGAGCCUGUGAGGGUAAGUUGCAGACAGCAUGACCCUCUACCUCCAGAUGUGUCAGGGUGUGUCUCCUGGGCACAAGAACAGGGUUUUUGUUUUGUUUUGUUUCACAUAAGCAAAGUACAAGUCUCAAAGAGGAUAAUAUUUUUAAAUCAUCUUAUUGGGACAUACUUUGCAUGCAAUAAACUGCAUCUAUUUAAAAUGUUCAACUUGUUGAAUUUUAGCUGUUGUACACACCCACAUCUCCACUACCACAGUGAAGAUAAAGAAGAUUUUAAUCGUCUCCCAAAGAACAGCUACACGAUAAAAUUCUAUGUUGUCAUUAAAAAGAGUAAGAGCAAUUUUAAGUAUUGCUAUGAAAAGAUGUGCCCAGCAUACUUUUAACCUUUUUUAAAAGGUUAAGGAGGCUGGGCACAGUGGCUCAUACCUGUAAUCCCAGAACUUUGGGAGGCUAUGGCAGGCAGAUAACCUGAGGUCAGAAGUUCAAGAUCAGCCUGGCCAACAUGGUGAAACCCUGUCUCUACUGAAAAUGCAAAAAUUAGCCGGGCGUGGUGGUGGGUGCCUGUAGUUCCAGCUGUUUGGGAGGCUGAGGCAGGAGAAUCGCUUGAAUCUGGGAGGUAGAGGUUAGAGUGAGCCGAGAUCAUGCCACUGCAUUCCAGCCUGGGCGAAAAUGCCACUAAUAUCACUUACAUAAUAUUAAUAUAUAUUUGAAGUAGGGGAAAACCUGGAAGAUUCCUCACCAAAGUUUUGACAGUGACUCCAGAGACUGGGAUAACUUUGUGACUUUCAUUUCCUCUUAAAUGUUGUGCCAGGGUCUGACCGGCAGACCCAGGCUGCACGAUGGAUGAAUAAUGUACUCAGACACCGAUAUUCAGUGAAAGAGUGCACCAGAGGGCCAGGCCACUCACAGAAAGGGUUGUGGCAGCUGCGUGCCCUGACUAUCUGGCCCUGUGGGCCUUUAUUCAGCACAGAUUUAAUGACAAAGGCUUUGAGUCAACACACCUGUGGGUAAUUAAUCUGGUCGCAGUCCCCCGGAGAGAGCAGUCCUACAAAUGAUCAAAGAUUCAGAUCCCAAUGACAGAGGAGGGGAGUCCAUAUCCCUAGGAGGAAGAACCCUGGAACACCCUGGGAGUAUAUGCU